GACGAACGCUGGCGGCGUGCUUAACACAUGCAAGUCGAACGGAAAGGCCCUGCUUUUGUGGGGUUCUCGUGUGGCGCAGGGGUGAGUAACACGUGAGUAACAUGCCCUUGACUUUGGGAUAACUUCAGGAAACUGGGGCUCAUACCGGAUAGGAGCUCCUGCUGCAUGGUGGGGGUUGGAAAGUUUCGGCGGUUGGGGAUGUAGUCGCGGCUUAUCAGCUUGUUGGUGGGGUAGUGGCUUACCAAGGCUAUGACGGGUAGCCGGCCUGAGAGGGUGACCGGGCACAUUGGGACUGAGGUAGGGCCCAGACUGCAACGGGAGGCAUGAGUGGAGAAUAUUGCAAAAUAGGCGGAAGCCGGAUGCAACAACGUCGCGUGCGGGAUCACUGCUUGUGGGGUAUAAACCGCUUUCGCCUGGAACGAACAGUGAGUGACGGUAACGGGUAAGGAAGCAACGGCUAACUACGUG
rnacentral:rRNA from 1 species